rnacentral:rRNA from 1 species
CGGACGGGUGAGUAACGCGUGGGUAACCUGCCUCACACUGGGGGACAACAGUUAGAAAUGACUGCUAAUGCCGCAUAAGCGCACAGGACCGCAUGGUCCGGUGUGAAAAACUCCGGUGGUGUGAGAUGGAUCCGCGUCUGAUUAGCCAGUUGGCGGGGUAACGGCCCACCAAAGCGACGAUCAGUAGCCGACCUGAGAGGGUGACCGGCCACAUUGGGACUGAGACACGGCCCAAACUCCUACGGGAGGCAGCAUG